CAGUCGCCACGGUAAUACGAAGGGUGCAAGCGUUAAUCGGAAUUACUGGGCGUAAAGCGUGCGCAGGCGGUUGUGUAAGACAGGUGUGAAAUCCCCGGGCUUAACCUGGGAACUGCGCUUGUGACUGCACAGCUAGAGUAUGGCAGAGGGGGGUGGAAUUCCACGUGUAGCAGUGAAAUGCGUAGAGAUGUGGAGGAACACCGAUGGCGAAGGCAGCCCCCUGGGACAACACUGACGCUGAGGCACGAAAGCGUGGGGAGCAAACAGGAUUAGAUACCCGCGUAGUCCCUGUCUCUUAUAC
rnacentral:rRNA from 1 species